AUGAACGCUAGCUACAGGCUUAACACAUGCAAGUCGAGGGGCAGCGGUAUCGAAAGCUUGCUUUCGGUAGCCGGCGACCGGCGCACGGGUGAGUAACGCGUAUCGAACCUGCCUCAUACUCGGGAAUAGCCUUGCGAAAGUAAGAUUAAUGCCCGGUGUUUUCAGAGUCCCGCAUGAGGCUUUGAACAAAGAUUUAUCGGUAUGAGAUGGCGAUGCGUCCCAUUAGCUUGUUGGCGGGGUAACGGCCCACCAAGGCAUCGAUGGGUAGGGGUUCUGAGAGGAAGGUCCCCCACAUUGGAACUGAGACACGGUCCAAACUCCUACGGGAGGCAGCAGUGAGGAAUAUUGGUCAAUGGGCGGAAGCCUGAACCAGCCAAGUAGCGUGCAGGAAGACGGCCCUCCGGGUUGUAAACUGCUUUUAGUUGGGAAUAAAACGGGGCUCGUGAGCCCCCUUGCAUGUACCAUCAGAAAAAGAACCGGCUAAUUCCGUGCCAGCAGCCGCGGUAAUACGGAAGGUCCGGGCGUUAUCCGGAUUUAUUGGGUUUAAAGGGAGCGCAGGCGGACCUUUAAGUCAGCUGUGAAAUACGGCGGCUCAACCGUCGAACUGCAGUUGAUACUGGAGGUCUUGAGUGCACACAGGGAUGCUGGAAUUCAUGGUGUAGCGGUGAAAUGCUCAGAUAUCAUGAAGAACUCCGAUCGCGAAGGCAGGCAUCCGGGGUGCAACUGACGCUGAGGCUCGAAAGUGUGGGUAGCAAACAGGAUUAGAUACCCUGGUAGUCCACACCGUAAACGAUGAUUACUAGGUGUUGGAGGAUUGACCCCUUCAGUGCCGCAGUUAACACAAUAAGUAAUCCACCUGGGGAGGACGACCGCAAAGUUGAAACUCAAAGGAAUUGACGGGGGCCCGCACAAGCGGAGGAACAUGUGGUUUAAUUCGAUGAUACGCGAGGAACCUUACCCGGGCUUGAACUGCCAGCGACGGAUGCAGAGACGCAUCUUUCUUCGGACGCUGGCGGAGGUGCUGCAUGGUUGUCGUCAGCUCGUGCCGUGAGGUGUCGGCUUAAGUGCCAUAACGAGCGCAACCCUCAUCCUCGUUUGCCAUCAGGUAAUGCUGGGCACUCCGGGGACACUGCCAUCGUAAGAUGUGAGGAAGGUGGGGAUGACGUCAAAUCAGCACGGCCCUUACGUCCGGGGCUACACACGUGUUACAAUGGGCGGUACAGAGGGCAGCCACUGCGCGAGCAGGAGCCAAUCCUCAAAGCCGUUCUCAGUUCGGACUGGAGUCUGCAACCCGACUCCACGAAGCUGGAUUCGCUAGUAAUCGCGCAUCAGCCAUGGCGCGGUGAAUACGUUCCCGGGCCUUGUACACACCGCCCGUCAAGCCAUGAAAGCCGGGAGCACUUGAAGGCCGUGACCGCAAGGGUCGGUCUAGAGUGAUACUGGUAAUUGGGGCU
rnacentral:rRNA from 1 species